rnacentral:lncRNA from 1 species
UUGUAGUGUAAUACUGAGUUACUUUUCUCAUGUUUGGUGGAACUCAACUGGUGAACAAGCUGCCCAUUUCUCAAGUUCAUUGCCUUGUAAUGUCUGCUUUUUUAUAUGCAUUUAUUUCUGCCUUUGAGAUUGGCGGCAAUGAAAAUUCGCCUGAAAUGGGCUGAAUGGAAUGUAUGCUUAGUGAAAGGCUGCGGUUCUGCUUCAUUUCCUUUUGUCUGGAGUUGUGCUGCGUGUAUAGCUCAAGCUUCCCCUGACAUUCAUGUGUUUGCAGAAUAGGAUCCAUGUUUUUUCAUAAAAUCUCUUUGUUUCUGCUUCACUCCUUUAUGCUUUAUUUUUGCCUGGAGUAGUACUGCGUGGAUUGCUUGUGCUUCCCAUGACAUUCACGGCGAUGAGCAAAAUGA